rnacentral:rRNA from 1 species
GACGUAGGAUGCAAGCGUUGUCCGGAAUUAUUGGGCGUAAAGAGUUCGUAGGCGGUUUGUUAAGUCUGGUGUUAAAGACGGGAGCUCAACUCCCGCAUGGCAUCGGAUACUGGCAGGCUAGAGUGUGGUAGAGGUCUCGGGGAAUUCCAGGUGUAGCGGUGAAAUGCGUAGAUAUCUGGAGGAACACCGGGUGGCGAAAGCGCGAGACUGGGCCAUAACUGACGCUGAGGAACGAAAGCCAGGGGAGCAAAAGGG